rnacentral:rRNA from 1 species
GAGGCAGCAGUGGGGAAUAUUGCACAAUGGGCGCAAGCCUGAUGCAGCCAUGCCGCGUGUAUGAAGAAGGCCUUCGGGUUGUAAAGUACUUUCAGCGAGGAGGAAGGCGUUGUGGUUAAUAACCGCAACGAUUGACGUUACUCGCAGAAGAAGCACCGGCUAACUCCGUGCCAGCAGCCGCGGUAAUACGGAGGGUGCAAGCGUUAAUCGGAAUUACUGGGCGUAAAGCGCACGCAGGCGGUCUGUCAAGUCGGA